rnacentral:misc_RNA from 1 species
AACCUUAUGGACCUGCGGGCGUAUACCUGCGGAGGGAUCAUCAACAACAACAAUAUAUAUAAAAAAUAAAAUAAUAGUGUUUGAUGGUGGUAAAAGUAUUAUUAUCAUUACUAUUAUUUUAUUUUUUUACCAAUGUGAAUAGCCCAAAAGCAAGAAAAUUGUUUUCGGGUCUUAUUACUUUACUUUCUCUCAUUAUCUAUGAUGAUGAUGAUGAUGAAAGUAAAUAAAUAUACUAGAGUA